rnacentral:rRNA from 1 species
UUUUUGAUUUUAAUUUAAAGUUUAAUCUGCCCCCUGAUUUAUAUUGAAGGGCUGCAGUAAUUUGACUGUACAAAGGUAGCAUAAUCAUUAGUUUUUUAAUUGAAGACUUGUAUGAAGGAUUUGAUAAAAUAUAAACUGUCUYUAAUUUAUAUUUAAAAUUUAAUUUUUUAGUUAAAAAGCUAAAAUAAAUUUAAAAGACGAGAAGACCCUAUAGAGUUUUAUAAUUUAUAAUUUAAAAUAUUUAUAUAAAAUUUUAAUAUAAUAGAUUAUAAUUUAUUUUAUUGGGGGGAUAGAAAAAUUUAUAAAACUUUUUUUUUUUCAUUAACAUAAAUAAUUGAAUAUAUGAUCCUAAAUAAAGAUUAAAAGAAAAAAUUACCUUAGGGAUAACAGCGUAAUUUUUUUUUUUAGUACAAAUAAAAAAAAAAGUUUGCGACCUCGAUGUUGGAUUAAGAUAAAAUUUAAAUGCAAAAGUUUAAAAUUUUGAUCUGUUCGAUCAUUAAAAUCUUACAUGAUCUGU